rnacentral:rRNA from 1 species
GCUUAGAGUUUGAUCAUGGCUCAGGAUGAACGCUGGCGGCGUGCCUAACACAUGCAAGUCGAGCGAUUUACUUCGGUAAAGAGCGGCGGACGGGUGAGUAACGCGUGGGUAACCUGCCCUGUACACACGGAUAACAUACCGAAAGGUAUGCUAAUACGAGAUAAUAUGCUUUUAUCGCAUGGUAGAAUUAUCAAAGCUUUUGCGGUACAGGAUGGACCCGCGUCUGAUUAGCUAGUUGGUAAGGUAACGGCUUACCAAGGCGACGAUCAGUAGCCGACCUGAGAGGGUGAUCGGCCACAUUGGAACUGAGACACGGUCCAAACUCCUACGGGAGGCAGCAGUGGGGAAUAUUGCACAAUGGGCGAAAGCCUGAUGCAGCAACGCCGCGUGAGCGAUGAAGGCCUUCGGGUCGUAAAGCUCUGUCCUCAAGGAAGAUAAUGACGGUACUUGAGGAGGAAGCCCCGGCUAACUACGUGCCAGCAGCCGCGGUAAUACGUAGGGGGCUAGCGUUAUCCGGAAUUACUGGGCGUAAAGGGUGCGCAGGUGGUUUCUUAAGUCAGAGGUGAAAGGCUACGGCUCAACCGUAGUAAGCCUUUGAAACUGAGAAACUUGAGUGCAGGAGAGGAGAGUG